rnacentral:rRNA from 1 species
AAGGCGAAAAGAACCCCUGUGAGGGGAGUGAAAUAGAACCUGAAACCGUGUACGUACAAGCAGUAGGAGCACCUUCGUGGUGUGACUGCGUACCUUUUGUAUAAUGGGUCAGCGACUUAUAUUCAGUGGCAAGGUUAACCGUAUAGGGGAGCCGUAGCGAAAGCGAGUCUUAACUGGGCGCUCAGUCUCUGGAUAUAGACCCGAAACCGGGUGAUCUAGCCAUGGGCAGGUUGAAGGUUGAGUAACAUCAACUGGAGGACCGAACCGACUAAUGUUGAAAAAUUAGCGGAUGACUUGUGGCUAGGGGUGAAAGGCCAAUCAAACUCGGAGAUAGCUGGUUCUCCCCGAAAGCUAUUUAGGUAGCGCCUCGGACGAAUACUACUGGGGGUAGAGCACUGUUAAGGCUAGGGGGUCAUCCCGACUUACCAACCCUUUGCAAACUCCGAAUAC